GACGAACGCUGGCGGCGUGCCUAACACAUGCAAGUCGAACGGAGUACCUUCGGGUGCUUAGUGGCGAACGGGUGAGUAACGCGUGAGAAACCUGCCUUUCAGUGGGGGACAACAGUUAGAAAUGACUGCUAAUACCGCAUAAUGUAUUUUUGGGCAUCCCUUGAAUACCAAAGCUUUAUGUGCUGAAAGAUGGUCUCGCGUCUGAUUAGCUAGAUGGCGGGUAACGGCCACCAUGGCGACGAUCAGUAGCCGGUCUGAGAGGAUGAACGGCCACAUUGGGACUGAGAUACGGCCCAGACUCCUACGGGAGGCAGCAGUGGGGAAUAUUGGGCAAUGGGGAAACCUGACCCAGCAACGCCGCGUGAAGGAAGAAGGCCUCGGUUGUAAACUUCUUUAGUUAGG
rnacentral:rRNA from 1 species